rnacentral:lncRNA from 1 species
CCCUCACCCUGCCGCGGGGCGGCUGCCCACCCCCCAGGCUCCCCGGGGCGGCUGACGGAGCCUGAGAAACCCAAGAAGGGGAAGAAGGAAAAACCUCCCAAACCCACCAAGAAGCCCAAGGAGAGACCCCGGGGCUCCAAGAGGGACAAGGACCGGGACCGGGACCAGGACCGGGACCGAGACAGGGGCAAGAACAAGGACAGGGGCAAGGACAAGGACAAGCCCCCCAAGAAGCCCAAGGAGAAGCCCCCCAAAGGCUCUGAAAAACCCCCAAAAGGCUCCAAAAAGCCCAAAGAGAAGCCACCCAAGGCCACCAAAAAACCCUCCGGCAAGAAGCCAGAGCCACCGACUACCCCCCCGGAGUCCCCCACCACCCCGCAGCCCCCACGGGGCAAGGAUGACACAGGGACACCCUGGUUCCCGGAGCAGCCUUCGCCCUACGAGGAGGAGGAGGAUGGAGGUGGCCGAGGGGAGUUGGAGGAGCCACCAAGGGAGCCCUGGGAGCUGGGUCGGGAGGACUAUCGCCCCGAGCCCGAGCCUGAGGUGCCUGAGGAGCCGGAGCCACCGACGCUGGACUACAACGAGCAGCUGGAGCGGGAGGACUACGAGGACUUCGAGUACAUCCGGCGGCAGCAGAAACCCCGCAAGCCCCCAAGCAGGAAGAAACCCGAGAGAGUCUGGCCCCAGCCCGAGGAGCCACUGAAGCCGGAGGAGCCACCCCCACAGCCACCCCCACUGCCCAU